GACGAACGCUGGCGGCGUGCUUAACACAUGCAAGUCGAACGCUGAAGACCUGGCUUUUGUUGGGUUGGAUGAGUGGCGAACGGGUGAGUAACACGUGAGUAACCUGCCCUCUUCUUUGGGAUAACGCCCGGAAACGGGUGCUAAUACUGGAUAUUCACUGAUCUUCGCAUGGGGGUUGGUGGAAAGGUUUAUUCUGGUGGGGGAUGGGCUCGCGGCCUAUCAGCUUGUUGGUGGGGUGAUGGCCUACCAAGGCUUUGACGGGUAGCCGGCCUGAGAGGGUGACCGGUCACAUUGGGACUGAGAUACGGCCCAGACUCCUACGGGAGGCAGCAGUGGGGAAUAUUGCACAAUGGGCGAAAGCCUGAUGCAGCGACGCCGCGUGAGGGAUGGAGGCCUUCGGGUUGUAAACCUCUUUCGCUCAUGGUCAAGCCGCAACUGUGGGUUGUGGUGAGGGUAGUGGGUAAAGAAGCGCCGGCUAACUACGUG
rnacentral:rRNA from 1 species